CAAGGGCUUACAGCUCGGGUUUUUCUGGUUAAUUGCUGCAGCAAGAGGACUAGCCGGCCGUGUGCAGAGCAUCCUUUUUUGACCCUCAGAGAGCCCGGGCGGGAAAAGAGCGUCCCUCAAGAGGGCCUUGGCCCUCGUGGAUCUGGUUCUCUCAGGCCAGCGUUCCUUCGACGGGGACUCUCCUGGCGAGUUCCUAGCCGUUACCCUUUCCUCAGCUCAGCUCCUGGACCAUGGCUCUGGGUCACACAGCCUCCUGGGCUGCUCUUUCGUAUGCCACAUUUUUAUUCACUUUUGAGAGCCUAUGCGCCAUGCACCCUUCUAAUCCCUGAAUGGACGAAACAAAGCCCUUAGACUGACAUUCUAAUGGAGAACAGAAAUCAAGAUGAACGCUUCCUACGGUGAUGAGGAGAAAAGAGCCUCCCUGUGGUAUUCGGAGUCCUGUACGGGCAUGGCUGUCUUUGGGAGUUUCUUCUUUGUCUGUUGAGCCAGGUGCAGAAGACUCCAAGGAAACAGAGGCUAUUGGACCCACAACUUGGAAGGAGCCCGG
ensembl:lncRNA